rnacentral:rRNA from 1 species
AACGAACGCUGGCGGCAUGCCUAACACAUGCAAGUCGAACGAGACCUUCGGGUCUAGUGGCGCACGGGUGCGUAACGCGUGGGAACCUGCCCUUAGGUUCGGAAUAACUCCCCGAAAGGGGUGCUAAUACCGGAUAAUGUCUUCGGACCAAAGAUUUAUCGCCUUUGGAUGGGCCCGCGUUGGAUUAGCUAGUUGGUAGGGUAAAAGCCUACCAAGGCGACGAUCCAUAGCUGGUCUGAGAGGAUGAUCAGCCACACUGGGACUGCGACACGGCCCAGACUCCGACGGGAGGCAGCAGUGGGGAAUAUUGGACAAUGGGCGAAAGCCUGAUCCAGCAAUGCCGCGUGAGUGAUGAAGGCCUUAGGGUUGUAAAGCUCUUUUACCCGGGAUGAUAGUGACAGUACCGGGAGAAUAAGCUCCGGCUAACUCCGUG